rnacentral:rRNA from 1 species
ACUCCUACGGGAGGCAGCAGUGGGAAUCUUGGACAAUGGGGCACCGUAGCAUCCAGCCAUGCCGCGUGAGUGAUGAAGGCCUUAGGGUCGUAAAGCUCUUUCGCCUGUGAUGAUAAUGACAGUAGCAGGUAAAGAAACCCGCGUACAUCCGUGCCAGCAGCCGCGGUAAUACGGAGGGGUUAGCGUUGUUCGGAAUUACUGGGCGUAAAGCGCGCGUAGGCGGAUUAGUCAGUUAGAGGUGAAAUCCCAGGGCUCAACCCUGGAACUGCCUUUAAUACUGCUAGUCUUGAGUUCGAGAGAGGUGAGUGGAAUUCCGAGUGUAGAGGUGAAAUUCGUAGAUAUUCGGAGGAACACCAGUGGCGAAGGCGGCUCACUGGCUCGAUACUGACGCUGAGGUGCGAAAGUGUGGGGAGCAAACAGGAUUAGAUACCCUGGUAGGUCAGUC